UGACAGUGGCUGGCUUUUAGAUGAUUGUUAC
rnacentral:piRNA from 1 species